rnacentral:rRNA from 1 species
UACGAAGGGGGCUAGCGUUGCUCGGAAUUACUGGGCGUAAAGGGCGCGUAGGCGGAUAGUUUAGUCAGAGGUGAAAGCCCAGGGCUCAACCUUGGAACUGCCUUUGAUACUGGCUAUCUUGAGUUCGGGAGAGGUGAGUGGAAUGCCGAGUGUAGAGGUGAAAUUCGUAGAUAUUCGGCGGAACACCAGUGGCGAAGGCGACUCACUGGCCCGAUACUGACGCUGAGAGCGAAAGCAUGGGGAGCGAACAGG